GUGGCUGCUCAAAGGUGAUUGGCACUUCUCCAUUGAUCCACAGGACAGUAAUAGCUGAUGCAACAGUGAUGCCAGCAUGCCUCAACCCUGCCCUGGAGGGAUCUCCUUUAAAAAUGAGAGGGGAGUUCACUCCCUCUAGCACUUUCACCUCUGAUCUCUC
ensembl:misc_RNA